CAGCAGUGGGGAAUAUUGCACAAUGGGCGCAAGCCUGAUGCAGCCAUGCCGCGUGUAUGAAGAAGGCCUUCGGGUUGUAAAGUACUUUCAGCAGUGAGGAAGGAGGUAUCGUUAAUAGCGGUAUCUUUUGACGUUAGCUGCAGAAGAAGCACCGGCUAACUCCGUGCCAGCAGCCGCGGUAAUACGGAGGGUGCGAGCGUUAAUCGGAAUUACUGGGCGUAAAGCGCAUGCAGGUGGUUUGUUAAGUCAGAUGUGAAAGCCCGGGGCUCAACCUCGGAAUUGCAUUUGAAACUGGCAGGCUAGAGUACUGUAGAGGGGGGUAGAAUUUCAGGUGUAGCGGUGAAAUGCGUAGAGAUCUGAAGGAAUACCGGUGGCGAAGGCGGCCCCCUGGACAGAUACUGACACUCAGAUGCGAAAGCGUGGGGAGCAAACAGGAUUAGAUACCCUGGUAGUCCACGCCGUAAACGAUGUCUACUUGGAGGUUGUGGCCUUGAGCCGUGGCUUUCGGAGCUAACGCGUUAAGUAGA
rnacentral:rRNA from 1 species